UAUGUUAACUUGAUCCUGUUGAAAUUAAAUUAAUUGCGUUAGCCGCAAAUUUCUAAUUAGAGUAAUGAUACGAGUUGGGGAAAACAACGAAGCGACUGAUCAGUCCAGUUUGACAACGAAAUACAGCGGUCUUAUAACGAGUAAGAAGGGAGAUGGUUGACCUUCCUUCAGCUCCGAAAUAGGAAAGUUUCCGAGUAUGAACAAAUUGGAAAAUUAGGGCGGAGAAUAAGGAUCUUCGUAUAUAUCGCCAAAAGCAGCAGAUUCAGAAAAACGGAAAUUCAAUUAUGAAAUUUACUGUAAAAAUAAAGUCUCAACUGUGUA